AGUGAACGCUGGCGGUAGGCCUAACACAUGCAAGUCGAACGGCAGCACAGGAGAGCUUGCUCUCUGGGUGGCGAGUGGCGGACGGGUGAGGAAUACAUCGGAAUCUACUCUGUCGUGGGGGAUAACGUAGGGAAACUUACGCUAAUACCGCAUACGACCUACGGGUGAAAGCAGGGGAUCUUCGGACCUUGCGCGAUUGAAUGAGCCGAUGUCGGAUUAGCUAGUUGGCGGGGUAAAGGCCCACCAAGGCGACGAUCCGUAGCUGGUCUGAGAGGACGACCAGCCAAACUGGGACUGAGACACGGCCCAGACUCCUGAGGGAGGCAGCAGUGGGGAAUUUUGGACAAUGGACGCAAGUCUGAUCCGGCCAUGCCGCGUGCGGGAAGAAGGCCUUCGGGUUGUAAACCGCUUUUGUCAGGGAAGAAACGCUCCGGGCUAAUAUCCUGGAGUAAUGACGGUACCUGAAGAAUAAGCACCGGCUAACUACGUGCCAGCCGCCGCCGUAA
rnacentral:rRNA from 1 species